CAGUAGCCACGGGAAUACGUAGGGUGCAAGCGUUGUCCGGAAUUAUUGGGCGUAAAGAGCUCGUAGGCGGUUUGUCGCGUCUGCUGUGAAAUCUGGGGGCUCAACCCCCAGCCGCAGUGGGUACGGGCAGACUAGAGUGCGGUAGGGGAGAUUGGAAUUCCUGGUGUAGCGGUGGAAUGCGCAGAUAUCAGGAGGAACACCGAUGGCGAAGGCAGAUCUCUGGGCCGUAACUGACGCUGAGGAGCGAAAGCAUGGGGAGCAAACAGGAUUAGAUACCCGCGUAGUCCCUGUCUCUUAUACA
rnacentral:rRNA from 1 species